GGAAUGUGUACAGAACGCAAAAAGUCAGAAACACAACAAACUAACGGCAAGCGACACAUGAAAAGAACUAAAAAAAACUAAAGAACUUCUAAAUAAUUUGUAACUAUAUAACAAUCACCUUAAUACAUUCGUUUUGGCCGUUAUGCUCCCUGCAAAACUUGUUAUAAACCAUACAAUCAAUAUAAAUAUUCCAGGGAUAUUAUUCAGCAUGAAACAAUAAAUAAUUAAACAGUCUAUUCAACAAUUUAUUCAUAUUAAUACAACAAUUAUAAUGUUUUUAAAAAUAUCAUCACUCAUCUACGUUUUGCCAUAUUACAACUCUCAUACAAACAAAUUCUACACAACUUUCUACGCAUCUUGGAUCACAGUUGGUUUUGUGCUUAUCAACGUUGCUGUUAAUCUAAUAUUAACACACGAAGAGAGUAAUGCCCACCUUGGCUGGGGUAGAAUUGCCCCAAUAUGUAGAAGAUUCAUGCGUGAUAUUUUCAUGAUAUUCUACCUAAUCUACGUAUGCAAUGUGUCAGUUUGUAAUAAUUUUCUUCAAGCUACAAAAUCAAUCAAUCACAUUCUAAAGAAAAACUUCAAUAAACACAUCAUAAUCAAAA